UACGUAGGGACCGAGCGUUGUCCGGAAUCAUUGGGCGUAAAGAGCGUGUAGGCGGCCACUUAAGUCCUGCGUGAAAUCUUGCGGCUCAACCGCAAGCGGUCGUGGGAAACUGGGUGGCUAGAGUGCGGGAGAGGAGAGUGGAAUUCCUGGUGUAGCGGUGAAAUGCGUAGAUAUCAGGAGGAACACCGGUGGUGUAGACGGCUCUCUGGACCGUAACUGACGCUGAGACACGAAAGCGUGGGUAGCAAACAGG
rnacentral:rRNA from 1 species